CAUGCAAGUCGAGCGGGGAAARGUAGCUUGCUACUUKACCUAGCGGCGGACGGGUGAGUAAUGCUUAGGAAUCUGCCUAUUAGUGGGGGACAACAUCUCGAAAGGGAUGCUAAUACCGCAUACGUCCUACGGGAGAAAGCAGGGGACCUUCGGGCCUUGCGCUAAUAGAUGAGCCUAAGUCGGAUUAGCUAGUUGGUGGGGUAAAGGCCUACCAAGGCGACGAUCUGUAGCGGGUCUGAGAGGAUGAUCCGCCACACUGGGACUGAGACACGGCCCAGACUCCUACGGGAGGCAGCAGUGGGGAAUAUUGGACAAUGGGGGGAACCCUGAUCCAGCCAUGCCGCGUGUGUGAAGAAGGCCUUUUGGUUGUAAAGCACUUUAAGCGAGGAGGAGGCUACCGAGAUUAAUACUCUUGGAUAGUGGACGUUACUCGCAGAAUAAGCACCGGCUAA
rnacentral:rRNA from 1 species